GAAAUGCGAUAAGUAGUGUGAAUUGCAGAAUUCAGUGAAUCAUCGAAUCUUUGAACGCACAUUGCGCCCUAUGGUAUUCCGUAGGGCAUGCCUGUUCGAGCGUCAUUUACACCUUCAAGCCUUGCUUGGUGUUGGGUGACUGUGGCCCCUUUGGGGCCACUCGCCUUAAAGUCAUUGGCGGCCGGUUCGUUGGCUUUGUAGCGCAGCACAAUUGCGUCCUCGAAGCCGCUGGACCAGCUCCCAGAAGCUAAUUUUAAAUGUUUGACCACGAAUCAGGUAGGGAUACCCGCUGAACUUAAGC
rnacentral:misc_RNA from 1 species